AUUGUUGGUUGCUUAACGUCCAGUGGCAAAUAUUUCAUGCAUAUUCAGGACGAGAACAAGUUAACAAUAAAUACAAUAGGUAGGUCUAGUCAUAAUAGAGGCCGUUCGGGAUGAUAGUCGGGGAAAUUUGGACUGCCACUGGAAAAUGAGGUUAUAUUGGAUAGGAACAGAAAUUUUGUCUUGCAACAGGUCACCUACGGACCCCUCAAAGAGUUGUUGCAA
rnacentral:lncRNA from 1 species